rnacentral:rRNA from 1 species
CAUUAUCGAACCGUGGAGGGGGAAGGAGGACACUGUCGCUGGCUUGGAUCUCUGAGCAUGUGCACGUCAAUCCUUUCUCUGAAACGCACGUACAACACACCUGUGCACUCGUUGUAGGUCCUUGAGAUAGAGGAUCUACGUUUCUCAUCAUCACACACGUCGUAUGUCUAGAAUGCGUUCAGAACGUCGAAUCUACUUCGAUGCUCGAUAAACGAAUACAACUUUCAGCAACGGAUCUCUUGGCUCUCGCAUCGAUGAAGAACGCAGCGAAUUGCGAUAAGUAAUGUGAAUUGCAGAUUUUCAGUGAAUCAUCGAAUCUUUGAACGCACCUUGCGCUCCUUGGUAUUCCAAGGAGCAUGCCUGUUUGAGUGUCAUCGAAUUCUCAACCAUGUCUCGAUCGACUUCGAGACCUUGGCUUGGAGUUGGGAGUUGCUGGUGGUGAAGGCCGUCAGCUCUCCUGAAAUGCAUUAGCAAAGGAUGGGCGAGUCUUCGUGUGACGGCCUUGGACGUGAUAAUGAUCGUCAUGGCUGGAGCACCUCUGGAUGCCGCUUCGGUCUUUUUGCUUCUAAAGCGUCCUGCAGUCGUAGUGCAGUCAGUCUUUCGAAACUUGACCUCAAAUCAGGUAGGACUACCCGCUGAACUUAAGCAUAUCAAUAA